rnacentral:rRNA from 1 species
UACGUAGGGCGCAAGCGUUGUCCGGAAUUAUUGGGCGUAAAGAGCUCGUAGGCGGUCUGUCACGUCGGAAGUGAAAACCCGGGGCUUAACCCCGGGCUUGCUUUCGAUACGGGCAGACUAGAGUGUGGUAGGGGAGACUGGAAUUCCUGGUGUAGCGGUGAAAUGCGCAGAUAUCAGGAAGAACACCAAUGGCGAAAGCAGCUCUCUGGGACGGUACUGACGCUGAGACGCGAAAGCGUGGGGAGCGAACAGG